GACGAACGCUGGCGGCAGGCUUAACACAUGCAAGUCGAACGAAGGCUUCGGCCUUAGUGGCGCACGGGUGCGUAACGCGUGGGAAUCUGCCCUUGGGUUCGGAAUAACUCAGAGAAAUUUGAGCUAAUACCGGAUGAUGACGUAAGUCCAAAGAUUUAUCGCCCAAGGAUGAGCCCGCGUAAGAUUAGCUAGUUGGUGGGGUAAAGGCCUACCAAGGCGACGAUCUUUAGCUGGUCUGAGAGGAUGAUCAGCCACACUGGGACUGAGACACGGCCCAGACUCCUACGGGAGGCAGCAGUGGGGAAUAUUGGACAAUGGGCGAAAGCCUGAUCCAGCAAUGCCGCGUGAGUGAUGAAGGCCUUAGGGUUGUAAAGCUCUUUUACCAGGGAUGAUAAUGACAGUACCUGGAGAAU
rnacentral:rRNA from 1 species